GCCGGGUGUAGUGGCGGGCACCUGUAGUCCCAGCUACUCAGGAGGCUGAGGCAGGAGAAUGGCGUGAACCCGGGAGGCGGAGCUUGCAGUGAGCUGAGAUCGCGCNCUCAGCUCACCGCAAGCUCCGCCUCCCAGGCUCACGCCAUUCUCCUGCCUCAG
rnacentral:SRP_RNA from 1 species